AGCUUUGUGCAGUGGCAUUAUCAGAGCCAGUGAUGUUUAUCUGAGGUGUGAUUAUUGCUAAUUGGAAAAAAAAUUUAGAGUCAAGUACAGCAAUGAUAUUCAGGUUUUCAUUGAAGCUUUGUUUAUAUAAAAAGUUAU